GGAAGAACCGCGCGCUCCUCGGGGUUCCUGGAUAUUGUCAACAUGGGCAUGUUUUCAACAAUGCCCUCGCACUUUACUUUCAAGCGAGGGGCAGGCGGCAGAUAUUUAGGAAUUAUAUCACCUAUUCCCUGUUAAGUGCUGUGGGACUCUGACACACAAACAUAAGAGACCCUGGACAUCCUCAUCUGACACCUUAAAGGCUUCAUCCUUUAUCUUAAAGAAACAACGCUGAUCAUGAACACCUAUCAGGAGUGCUCCUGUGGAGUCCUGUAUCAGAGCAAUGAUGGAGGACCUGCUGGAGGAGCAGACAGUCUCUGGAUCAGGUGGAGUUGUUGCUGUUUUGGAGAGUACAGAUGUCUUCGGGGGACGGCUGCAGGUUUUGGUGUGGUGUUUGCUCUACACUCUCAGCACUGAACAUCCAGACAACUGCAGGUACACAUUUAAGGCAGUCCAGAAGAUUUUGUUGGACUUGGACAAACAUGCUGACAUUGAAUGUAGGCACUGAGAACCAAAGUGUUCCAGUUACGGACUCUGAGUGCUGGACUGAAACUGAUCAAACUAUUACAGAGUUCCACUUACCCUGUGGUGGCCUGCUGACCUGUCCAUGCGC